rnacentral:rRNA from 1 species
AUGAUGGUGGCUGGGAUGCGCUUCCUGCAGCUGUUCGCGGUGGUUCUCGCCUUCUCCUUCGUGCCCGCCAAGUCCGGCUACUGGCUGCCGGCCCAUGCCACGUUCUACGGCGGCGCCGACGGCUCUGACACAAUGGGUGGCGCAUGUGGGUACGAGAACCUGUACAACGCGGGGUACGGGAUCAACAACGCGGCGCUGAGCACGGCGCUGUUCAACAACGGCUUGUCGUGCGGGCAGUGCUACCUCAUCACCUGCGACACCAGCAAGUCAAACAUGUGCAAGCCCGGCACGUCCAUCACCGUCUCCGCCACCAACUUCUGUCCCCCCAACUGGGCUCUCCCCAGCGACAACGGUGGCUGGUGCAACCCUCCCCGCGUCCACUUCGACAUGUCCCAGCCCGCCUGGGAAAACCUCGCCAUCUACCGCGCCGGCAUCGUCCCCGUCCUCUACCAGCAGGUCGCGUGCCAGAGGCAGGGCGGCCUGCGCUUCACUAUCAACGGCUUCAACUACUUUGAGCUCGUGCUGGUGACCAACAUGGCCGGGAGUGGGUCAGUCAAGAGCAUGUCGGUGAAGGGGACCAACACCGCAUGGAUUCCGAUGUCCCAGAACUGGGGCGCUAACUGGCAGUGCCUAGCGGGGCUGAAAGGACAAGCGCUCAGCUUCGCGAUCACCUCCUCCGGUGGACAGUACAAGGUCUUCCAGGACGUCGUGCCGGCAUGGUGGUUGUUCGGACAGACGUUCUCCACCUGGCAACAGUUCGACUACUAG